rnacentral:lncRNA from 1 species
UUACUGGCAAAGUUGUACCUUAUUUUGGUAACUAGUAACUAGUAAAUUCAGACCACACGGUGACAAGCCUUAUUAUUUUUCCAUCUUCCCAUUUGAUAAAACCCCAUAUUUUUAAUUGAAGUCCUUUAUAAAACCUUGCUUCAAACCAAAAUCGACAAACAAUAAUAUCUAAUAUGAAGGCUGUUGUCAGACAUGUACAGUAAAAUUUGGCAUGACAUGUUUUAAUCAAAAGGCCUGUAGAACUUGUUUCUAUUUAUUUAUCUU